GAGUUUAUCCCUGACGUUAUAGGACUCUGGCCGAUAACCAGAUUUUCGAGGGUUAAAAUCCCCCUAAACUCC
rnacentral:tRNA from 1 species